rnacentral:rRNA from 1 species
AGAGUUUGAUCCUGGCUCAGGAUGAACGCUGGCGGCGUGCCUAAUACAUGCAAGUCGAGCGAACAGACGAGGAGCUUGCUCCUCUGACGUUAGCGGCGGACGGGUGAGUAACACGUGGAUAACCUACCUAUAAGACUGGGAUAACUUCGGGAAACCGGAGCUAAUACCGGAUAAUAUAUUGAACCGCAUGGUUCAAUAGUGAAAGACGGUUUUGCUGUCACUUAUAGAUGGAUCCGCGCCGCAUUAGCUAGUUGGUAAGGUAACGGCUUACCAAGGCAACGAUGCGUAGCCGACCUGAGAGGGUGAUCGGCCACACUGGAACUGAGACACGGUCCAGACUCCUACGGGAGGCAGCAGUGGGGAAUAUUGGACAAUGGGCGAAAGCCUGAUCCAGCAAUGCCGCGUGAGUGAUGAAGGCCUUAGGGUUGUAAAGCUCUUUUACCCGGGAAGAUAAUGACUGUACCGGGAGAAUAAGCCCCGGCUAACUCCGUGCCAGCAGCCGCGGUAAUACGUAGGUGGCAAGCGUUAUCCGGAAUUAUUGGGCGUAAAGCGCGCGUAGGCGGUUUUUUAAGUCUGAUGUGAAAGCCCACGGCUCAACCGUGGAGGGUCAUUGGAAACUGGAAAACUUGAGUGCAGAAGAGGAAAGUGGAAUUCCAUGUGUAGCGGUGAAAUGCGCAGAGAUAUGGAGGAACACCAGUGGCGAAGGCGACUUUCUGGUCUGUAACUGACGCUGAUGUGCGAAAGCGUGGGGAUCAAACAGGAUUAGAUACCCUGGUAGUCCACGCCGUAAACGAUGAGUGCUAAGUGUUAGGGGGUUUCCGCCCCUUAGUGCUGCAGCUAACGCAUUAAGCACUCCGCCUGGGGAGUACGACCGCAAGGUUGAAACUCAAAGGAAUUGACGGGGACCCGCACAAGCGGUGGAGCAUGUGGUUUAAUUCGAAGCAACGCGAAGAACCUUACCAAAUCUUGACAUCCUUUGACCCUUCUAGAGAUAGAAGUUUCCCCUUCGGGGGACAAAGUGACAGGUGGUGCAUGGUUGUCGUCAGCUCGUGUCGUGAGAUGUUGGGUUAAGUCCCGCAACGAGCGCAACCCUCGUCCUAUGUUGCCAGCGGAUAAUGCCGGGGACUCAUAGGAGACUGCCGGGGUCAACUCGGAGGAAGGUGGGGAUGACGUCAAGUCAUCAUGCCCCUUAUGUCCAGGGCUUCACGCAUGCUACAAUGGCUGGUACAAAGGGCUGCAAUACCGCAAGGUGGAGCGAAUCCCAAAAAGCCAGUCUCAGUUCGGAUUGGGGUCUGCAACUCGACCCCAUGAAGUCGGAGUCGCUAGUAAUCGCAGAUCAGCAACGCUGCGGUGAAUACGUUCCCGGGCCUUGUACACACCGCCCGUCACACCAUGGGAGUUGGAUUCACCCGAAGGCGUUGCGCUAACUCGCAAGAGAGGCAGGCGACCACGGUGGGUUUAGCGACUGGGGUGAAGUCGUAACAAGGUAGCCGUAGGGGAACCUGCGGCUG